UACAGAGGGUGCAAGCGUUAAUCGGAAUUACUGGGCGUAAAGCGUGCGUAGACGGUUAUUUAAGUCAGGUGUGAAAUCCCCGGGCUCAACCUGGGAACUGCAUCCGAGACUGCAUUGCUAGAGUAUGGGAGAGGAAAGCGGAAUUUCUGGUGUAGCAGUGAAAUGCGUAGAUAUCAGAAGGAACAUCAGUGGCGAAGGCAGCUUUCUGGACCAAUACUGACGAUCAGGUGCGAAAGCGUGGGUAGCAAACAGG
rnacentral:rRNA from 1 species